AUUGAACGCUGGCGGCAGGCCUAACACAUGCAAGUCGAGCGGAGCGGCGGACGGGUGAGUAAUGCCUAGGAAUCUGCCUGGUAGUGGGGGAUAACGUCCGGAAACGGGCGCUAAUACCGCAUACUAUCAGAUUAGCCUAGGUCGGAUUGGCUAGUUGGUGGGGUAAAGGCCUACCAAGGCGCCGAUCCGGAAAGGGUCUGAGGGGAUGAUCAGGCACACUGGAAUGGAGACACGGGCCAGACUCCUACGGGAGGCAGCAGUGGGGAAGAUUGGACAAGGGGCGAAGGCCUGAUCCAGCCAUGCCGGGGAGGUGAAGAAGGUCUUCGGAUUGUAAAGCACUUUAAGUUGGGAGGCGUUACCAACAGAAUAAGCACCGGCUAACUUCGUGCCAGCAGCCGCGGUAAUUC
rnacentral:rRNA from 1 species